CUCUCUCUAACAGGAAUACUCUCACUUCCACUUUCACACAAAACCUUCUAGCUCGUUGUAUCUAUAAGUAACCCCCUUAGCUCUUGCAUUUCGCCACACCAAAAGAUAUAUACACAUCUUCUACUAAUCUUCAUUUAUAUCUUCUUCCUUCAUCUUUUCCAAAGGCUAUAUCAUGGGCGUUGUUACUAAUCAGACCGAGUUUCCUUCUGCAAUUCCCCCAGCCAAGUUGUUCAAGGUCUUUCUCCUUGAUGCCCACAAAACUAUCCCUAAGAUUGUGCCUCAGGCCAUUAAAAGUAUUGAGAUCAUUGAAGGAGAUGGAGGGUCUGGAAGUAUUAAGAAGACAACAUUUGCUGAAGGGAAAGAUAUCAAAUAUAUAAAGCACAAGGUUGAUUUCGUAGAUAAAGACA
rnacentral:misc_RNA from 1 species